AGCAAAUACCAUAGAGUGAUCAGCUUCACUAAAAUUACAUUUGUGACAUCAUUCCAUUGUCUGCUAGCGCCAUUAUUUUUCAGGAAUGGAGUGAUGUGUACCAGUUUAUAGAGUGGACAAAUUCGACAUCAUGCUCUGUGCAUUACAUUUGGCUAAUUAAAAUACCAAUACAUUGAAUGUAAUUUAAGUAGGGUAAUAUCCUCA